CGGGGUGAGUAAUGUAUGGGGAUCUGCCUGAUGGCGGGGGAUAACUACUGGAAACGGUAGCUAAUACCGCAUAACGUCGCAAGACCAAAGAGGGGGACCUUCGGGCCUCUUGCCAUCGGAUGUGCCCAGAUGGGAUUAGCUAGUAGGUGGGGUAACGGCUCACCUAGGCGACGAUCCCUAGCUGGUCUGAGAGGAUGACCAGCCACACUGAAACUGAGACACGGUCCAG
rnacentral:rRNA from 1 species